GGUGAGGUGUCCGAGAGGCCGAUGGAGCACGCUUGGAAAGCGUGUAACGGGUUAAACCGUUCGAGGGUUCGAAUCCCUCCCUCACCGCCA
rnacentral:tRNA from 1 species